CUUACUGUCCCAAACAAUGUUAUUUGUUAAACAUUUCAAACCCAGCUACAUUGCCAGCUUGGCUGUUUUGGCCUAGAAAUGCAUUUCGCUGGUCAGUAACUGAAAAUUUCCAAUACAGUGAGUAACACAGAAAAGCUGCUAUACUCUGCAUGAUUUGUAAGUCACUGUAAUUGAAAGGCACAACCUUUCAACAAUGUAUACAUUAGAUCCACAUUCA